rnacentral:ncRNA from 1 species
CAAAAACUUGGUCCUAAUUUUACUGUCAACUCUGGCCAAACUUACACAUGCAAGUAUCCGCACCCCCGUGAGAAUGCCCCCACAGUUCCCCGCCCGGGAACAAGGAGCUGGUAUCAGGCACAUACUAUUUAGCCCAUUACACCUUGCUUAGCCACACCCCCAAGGGAACUCAGCAGUGAUAAACAUUAAGCCAUAAGUGAAAACUUGACUUAGUCAAAGCCAAGAGGGCCGGUAAAACUCGUGCCAGCCACCGCGGUUAUACGAGGGGCCCAAGUUGACAUGCACCGGCGUAAAACGUGGCUAGGAUACACACCCACACUAAAGCCAAACACCUUCAAAGCUGUAAUACGCAAUCGGAGACAGGAAGUCCCACCACGAAAGUAGCUUUAUCUGAUCUGAGCCCACGAAAGCUAGGGGACAAACUGGGAUUAGAUACCCCACUAUGCCUAGCCGUAAACAUUGAUAGCACCCUACACCCGCUAUCCGCCCGGGAACUACGAGCAAUAGCUUGAAACCCAAAGGACUUGGCGGUGCUUUAGACCCACCUAGAGGAGCCUGUUCUAGAACCGAUAACCCCCGUUCAACCUCACCCCUCCUUGCCUUUUCAGCCUAUAUACCGCCGUCGUCAGCUUACCCUGUGAGGGAUUUAUAGUAAGCAGCCAUGGUAAAACCCUAAACGUCAGGUCGAGGUGUAGCGUACGGAGGGGGAAGAAAUGGGCUACAUUCACUGCAGCAGUGAACACGAAUGACGUGCUGAAACGCACAUCUGAAGGAGGAUUUAGCAGUAAGCAGGAAAUAGAGCGUCCCGCUGAAACUGGCCCUGAAGCGCGCACACACCGCCCGUCACUCUCCCCGAAAACCCAAAAGACAAUUAAUUAAAACCUAAUAGCCCAUAAAGGGGAGGCAAGUCGUAACAUGGUAAGCGUACCGGAAGGUGCGCUUGGAAAAUC